rnacentral:rRNA from 1 species
UACAGAGGAGCCAAGCGUUGUCCGGAUUGACUGGGCGUAAAGCGCACGCAGGCGGCAUCGCGCGUGGGGUGUGAAAUCUGGCCGCUUAACGGCCAGGCGCCAUCCCAUACGGCGAGGCUGGAGCGAUGCAGAGGUCGGUGGAAUUGCCGGUGUAGCGGUGGAAUGCGUAGAGAUCGGGAGGAACACCAGUGGCGAAGGCGGCCGGCUGGGCCUUGACUGACGCUGAGGCGCGACAGCGUGGGGAGCGAACCGG